AGAGUUUGAUCCUGGCUCAGAUUGAACGCUGGCGGCAUGCCUAACACAUGCAAGUCGAACGGCAGCACAGUGGUAGCAAUACCAUGGGUGGCGAGUGGCGGACGGGUGAGUAAUGCAUCGGGACCUACCUGAACGUGGGGGAUAACGUAGGGAAACUUACGCUAAUACCGCAUACGUCCUACGGGAGAAAGCGGGGGACCUUCGGGCCUCGCGCGGUCAGACGGACCGAUGUUCGAUUAGCUAGUUGGUGAGGUAAUGGCUCACCAAGGCGGCGAUCGAUAGCUGGUCUGAGAGGAUGAUCAGCCACACUGGAACUGAGACACGGUCCAGACUCCUACGGGAGGCAGCAGUGGGGAAUAUUGGACAAUGGGCGCAAGCCUGAUCCAGCAAUGCCGCGUGUGUGAAGAAGGCCUUCGGGUUGUAAAGCACUUUUAUCGGGAGCGAAAUACCAUUGGCUAAUAACCGGUGGGGCUGACGGUACCCGAGGAAUAAGCACCGGCUAACUUCGUGCCAGCAGCCGCGGUAAUACGAAGGGUGCAAGCGUUAAUCGGAAUUACUGGGCGUAAAGGGUGCGUAGGCGGUGAGUUAAGUCUGUCGUGAAAUCCCCGGGCUCAACCUGGGAAUGGCGAUGGAUACUGGCUCGCUAGAGUGUGUCAGAGGAUGGUGGAAUUUCCGGUGUAGCGGUGAAAUGCGUAGAGAUCGGAAGGAACAUCAGUGGCGAAGGCGGCCAUCUGGGACAACACUGACGCUGAAGCACGAAAGCGUGGGGAGCAAACAGAAUUAGAUACCCUGGUAGUCC
rnacentral:rRNA from 1 species